rnacentral:lncRNA from 1 species
AGAAUUAGAGUAGUCGGCCACGAAAACCAUAGAGUACCCGAGAGGACGGGCAGAAGGAACGUGACUUCCACGAGGCAGCCGCCGGGCUGGCGGGCCCCACGUUCAGGGUUGUGUCUCGGCUGAAAAAAAGGCACGCCCGAACGCUGGGCAGGGAUUACCCGGCCGGACCCGGGAUUGGAAGGGGGCUCGAAGACGCCUUAGCCCCCCGUGAAGAAAAGGCUUCCCUCCCUCCCAGCUCCAAAUACGGUCCCUGUGAUCUGAGAACAUUACGGCGGGCAUAGAGUCGUCUUUUCUUUAAUGGCCGUGUAGUCGCGGCACAGCCGAGGGUUUCUGGAAUUGCCUUAAACGUAUGCGUUUGAAGAGCGUACCCUUUUGUCGGAGCAGUCACCUUGGAGGGACCACGCAGGCUAUGGCAGCCCGGGUUCAGCAUGUUUAGGGCGAGGGUGUGCUCCAUGGGGACCUGCCUUCUGAUCCGUUUUACCAGGCAUAUAUUUAAAAAAAUGUGUCUUCCUUUCCAAGUAUUCACAUCUUUUUCUACUGACCACAAAUCAGAUUUAAUUCAACUCACAUUUAUUGAACAAGCUAGCCUGUUUUGUUUUUUCACUUUAUUCCUGCAACAGCCACGUGAUAGAGGGAUUACUAUCCACGUUUCACAAACGAUAAAAUUGAGGCUGCCACCUGAUGUUACUGAAGUCCUCCACCCACCUUCUUUCGUUCUUUUUUAAGCGUCUACUAUCGGCUGGGGAUGGAAUAGUUCGCGAGUCAGUUUCUGCCUUCUGAUGGAGGCAGAAAUUUAAACAGCCAACACGGUAAAUACUCCAGAGCUGCAAAACCACGAAGUAUUUUGGGAGUGGAAGCAGGGAGAAGGUGGAGGGCUGACUUUCCGCGCACAGGGUACAGGCGAGAAGAGGUGAGAUCU